GACGAACGCUGGCGGCGUGCCUAGUACAUGCAAGUUGAGCGCUGAAGGUUGGUUCUUGUACCGUCUGGGUGAGCAGCGCACGGGUGAGUAACGCGUGGGGAAUCUGCCUUUCAUCGGGGUACCACCUUUGGACACGAAUUCUAAUACCGCAUAAAAACUUUAAACACAAGGUUUAAGUUUGAGAUAUGCAAUUGCAUCACUCAAAGAUGAUCUCUCGUUGUAUUAGCUAGUUGGUGAGGUAAAGGCUCAUCAAGGCGAGGUUACAUAGCCGACCUGAGAGGGCGGUCGGCCACAUUGGGACUGAGACCCGGCACAAUGGCAUACGGGAGGCAGCAGUAGGGCAUCGUCGGCAAGCGAUGAAAGUCUGAGCGCGAAACGCCGAGUGAGUGUAGAGGGAUGUCGGAUCGGAAAACUCGGUUGGUAGAGAAGAAAGUUGGUGAGAGUGGAAAGAACAGUAAGUGACGGUAACUAGUCAGAAAGGAACGGCUAACUACGUG
rnacentral:rRNA from 1 species